UGCAUAUCCAAAAGCGGAGGAAAAGAAACCAACAGGGAUUACCUCAGUAACGGCGAGUGAGCGGUAAAAGCUCAAAUUUGAAAUCUGGCGCUUUCAGCGUCCGAGUUGUAAUUUGUAGAAGGUAACUUUGGGUUUGGUCCUGGCGUAAGUCUCUUGGAAUAGAGCUUCAUGGAGGGUGAAAAUCCCGUGUCGCUGGAUCGCCAUUCCUAUGUAAAGUGCCUUCGAAGAGUCGAGCUGUUUGGGAUUGCAGCUCUAAGCGGGUGGUAAAUUCCAUCUAAAGCUAAAUAUUGGCGAGAGACCGAUAGCGAACAAGUACAGUGAUGGAAAGAUGAAAAGAACUUUGAAAAGAGAGUGAAAAAGUACGUGAAAUUGUUGAAAGGGAACGGUUUAAAAUCAGACUUGGUAUUCAGUGAUCAGUUUUCCUUCGGGGAGGUGCACUCGCUGUUUACUGGGCCAACAUCGAUUCGGAGGGUGAGAUAAAAGGCGGUUGAACGUGGCUCUUCGGAGUGUUAUAGCUUCUGUCAUAAUAUCAUCAUUCUGGAUCGAGGACUGCUAUUACAGGAUGUUGGCGUAAUGGUUUUAAACUACCCGUCUUGAACCACGGACCA
rnacentral:rRNA from 1 species